rnacentral:rRNA from 1 species
UACGUAGGGAGCAAGCGUUGUCCGGAUUCACUGGGUGUAAAGGGUGCGUAGGCGGGAGACUAAGUCAGCGGUGAAAUCUUACGGCUCAACCGUGAAACUGCCGUUGAUACUGUUUUUCUUGAGUUCGGGAGAGGUUGAUGGAAUUCCAGGUGUAGCGGUGAAAUGCGUAGAUAUCUGGAAGAACACCAGUGGCGAAGGCGGUCAACUGGCCCGAAACUGACGCUGAGGCACGAAAGCGUGGGUAGCGAACAGG